rnacentral:lncRNA from 1 species
UGGAAUUACUGUUAAAAUUUUCCGGACCUCAACUGGGUUUCGUGAACACAGGUAAGAGGUGAUGAGCAAGGAUGCUAGAUUGAGGAUUGUAUCAUUUGGGAUGAUUUCAGCUACAAAUAGCAGAGAAAUCUCUCUGAGAUGACACAAGCCCUUCUGCUCAAAGUUUGGGCUUAGAACUAGCAACGUCACCCCCACCCGGGAGCUCGGACUCGUGGGAUCCUCAGCUCCAGCCCACCCCUUCUGGAUCCGAAUCUGCAUUUUAACAAGAGACAUGGGUUACUUGUCUGCACACAUUGUAGUUUGGGAAGCACAGCAUUAAACAAGGACCUCUUUUUUUUUUUAAUGCAUUUCAGAUAGCAAGCCGGCUACGGGUCAGCAGCGCGGGAGUCCUUAACUCGGCAAGUCAACGAUGUCAAGGAGGACCUGGGUGUUUUCCAUUUUUCUGCUCUGCUGUGCUGUGUGUGCUUCCUUUUCCACUCAGAUUUAUCUUUCUGUGGUCACAAGAUGGCUGUAGAAGCUGCAGGCUUUACCUCCCAGCACAGCGGAGGGAGGGGGUAGGAAAAGGAAGCUUCCCCCUCCUAUACGCCUUUUAGACAGCAGGGAAACAUUUGCCAGAAGCCACUCAAUAGAUUUCUCCUCGUGUUACACGUCUCCUAUCUGAUUGUCUAGAACUGCAGCGUGUUGUCCAUUCCUAAAUCGGGUGCUGGCAGAGGGACUGGAAUGAGGACGGUUGGCUAAGGCCAAUGCACAUUUACCCUCUGGGACGAGGUAGGAGCCUGGCCUCCUUGGAAGCACAUGGUGUAAACAUAAACACGGUGUGUUUCUGUAACUGGGAAGAAACGAAGGUGGGUAGGGGAGAGAGCUGGUGGGAAAAGCAACGGUGUGCGUGCUGCAAGAGCUUUCUGGAGGCUGGUCACUUUUGUCUUGGGACAUGAAGAAUUUCCUCUUGAAUGUUUGAGAGUUGAAAAAGAACUCACUCUGAGAGCCCCUCCUAUGAUCCAGGAGAGACUGUCCCAGGGACAGAUAUAGCCUUGGAUAGUUUGUGCCACAGGAAAUUGUUAAUGAUAGAACAAUGCAAUUUUACAAUUUUAGACCUAGACAGCUAGGAAGGAUUCUUUUCAAAAAAUUUUUUUAUGAAAAAAAUUUUUUUAAUGUUUACUUAUUUUUGAGAGGGAGAGAGACGGAGAGUGAAUGGGAGAGGGGCGGAGAGAGAGGGAGACACAGAAUCUGAAGCAGGCUCUAGGCUCUGCAAUGCUUCCCAGGCUAAUGCGAGCACUUUCUCCUUUCCGGCUCCCUCCCUGCUCCCUUUCUUUCUCCUGCACAGAGCCCGACGGACGCGGGGCCUGAACCUGUGAACCACAAGAGCAUGACCUGAGCCAAAGUUGUACGCUCAACCGACUGAGCCACCCAGGCGCCCCAAAAGGAUUCUGGUUUUCUUUUUUUUUAUGUUUAUUUAUUUUUUUAGAGGGAGGGAGACAGAGUGUGAGUGGGGGAGGGGCAGAGAGAGGAGACACAGAAUUCAUCCGAAGCAGGCUCCAGGCUCUGAGCUGUCGGUACAGAGCCCGACACGGGGCUCAAACCCACAAAUCGUGAGAUCAUGACCUGAGCCGAAGUCGGACGCUCAAUUGACUGAGCCACCCAGGCGCCCCUUUACCGACUUACUUCGAGAGACUGGC